rnacentral:misc_RNA from 1 species
GUGGGAGGGGGCUCGCUCCCGAUAUAUAGGUAGUCAGUUAAUAAAUUAUUGACUGACUACCUAUAUAUCGGGAGCGAGCCCCCUCCCAC